CUACGGAGGGUGCAAGCGUUAUUCGGAAUCACUGGGCGUAAAGGACGCGUAGGCGGGUUGGCAAGUCAGAUGUGAAAUCCUACAGCUUAACUGUAGAACUGCAUUUGAAACUGCUAACCUAGAGUAUGGGAGGGGGAGAUGGAAUUAGUGGUGUAGGGGUAAAAUCCGUAGAUAUCUCUAGGAAUACCGAAAGCGAAGGCGAUCUCCUGGAACAUAACUGACGCUAAGGCGUGAAAGCGUGGGGAGCAAACAGGAUUAGAAACCCUAGUAGUCC
rnacentral:rRNA from 1 species